CUGAAAAUCAGAGCUUUGAAAACUAACUUCUUUUAGAUCACAAAACCUUUACGCGGUAGAGCCACGACUCGAACAGAGGUCUCCAGGCUCCUGGUCUAGGAUUUUUCUUUUACUCCACUCCAACUCUCUCUGGACACAAUAUACCUAUUAUGUGAAUAAUGGCUCCAGCAACCACCCAAAUCCUCAUUUUUGCCAAGUCUGGCCAACUCAUUUCUUUUCUGUUUUUGUGUGUUUCUUCUAAUAGUUGGGAAAGUCUGAAGAUUAAAAUAUCUCUGUGGGCAAUUCAGCAGAACACUAUUUUCAGAUUACAGUCCUGGCAAAUCUCCUGAAACCACACAGGGAGAAAACAUUUCUGGCCAUUUGCCCGGCAAAAGUAAAGCAGAGAGUGGCAGUGAGAAGAGUCAGAGGGGCUGCAGAGCUGGGCUUCAGACAGGACCAAGACAAAUCAAAUGAUAAGAGAAGGGUACGAAUUUGAUUCUACGGUGUUCUCAAAAACCCAGAAGGAAAUGAAAGAAACAGAGAGCUGAGUGAAGAUCAGAGCAUCGGGCAACGCCUCACGGUGGAGGCAGGACUAGCUGUGCAGAAUGUGGUGGAGGGGAAGUGCACAAGAGCAGAAAUCGGGGUGACGUGUGGGGAAGCACAGAGUACGUGGCAGGACAGACACGCUGAACGAGAAACAGCAGGAGGGAAACAAGGAGGUGUGGAGUAAGGCCUCCUUAGGAACCGCCCAAGAGACCAGCAGAGUUUGCAUUUGAAAAUGGACUGUGCUACUGCAAAACAACAUAGCCUACAUUCCCCCAGGAGAUACUCAACGGCCAUCUGCUCAGCAUCCACUGCUGCCCAGCUGGUUCCUCUGUGCUGAGGAGCACUGCCACAGACUCAGCAGGACUGACCCUGGACCCAGUCCCAGCAGGUGGGCUCAGGAUGGCCUGCGUGGGUCAAGGCACCCCAUUCCCUGUUAGUUACUGGACAAGGGAUGUGCAGAUGACAUACACUGGUCUAAUGAAACUGAAGUGAAGGUGAGGAGGGGCU